rnacentral:rRNA from 1 species
UACGUAGGGUGCAAGCGUUGUCCGGAAUUAUUGGGCGUAAAGAGCUCGUAGGCGGUCUGUCGCGUCUGCUGUGAAAACUCAGGGCUUAACCCCUGAGCUUGCAGUGGGUACGGGCAGACUAGAGUGCGGUAGGGGAGACUGGAAUUCCUGGUGUAGCGGUGAAAUGCGCAGAUAUCAGGAGGAACACCGGUGGCGAAGGCGGCAUCCUGGACCGGCAUUGACGCUGAGGAGCGAAAGCCAGGGGAGCAAACGGG